AUUGAACGCUGGCGGCAGGCCUAACACAUGCAAGUCGAGCGGAUGAAGGGAGCUUGCUCCUGGAUUCAGCGGCGGACGGGUGAGUAAUGCCUAGGAAUCUGCCUGGUAGUGGGGGAUAACGUCCGGACACGGGCGCUAAUAUCGCAUACGUCCUGAGGGAGAAAGUGGGGGAUCUUCGGACCCCACGCUAUCAGAUGAGCCUAGGUCGGAUUAGCUAGUUGGUGGGGUAAAGGCCUACCAAGGCGACGAUCCGUAACUGGUCUGAGAGGAUGAUCAGUCACACUGGAACUGAGACACGGUCCAGACUCCUACGGGAGGCAGCAGUGGGGAAUAUUGGACAAUGGGCGAAAGCCUGAUCCAGCCAUGCCGCGUGUGUGAAGAAGGUCUUCGGAUUGUAAAGCACUUUAAGUUGGGAAGAAGGGCAGUAAGUUAAUACCUUGCUGUUUUGACGGUACCAACAGAAUAAGCACCGGCUAACUUCGUG
rnacentral:rRNA from 1 species